rnacentral:tRNA from 1 species
GGGCGUGUGGUGUAGGGGUAUCACGUCUGCUUCGCAUGCAGAAGGCCCCGGGUUCAAUUCCUGGCACGUUCA